rnacentral:rRNA from 1 species
UACGUAGGUGGCAAGCGUUGUCCGGAAUUACUGGGUGUAAAGGGAGCGCAGGCGGGAAGACAAGUCAGCUGUGAAAUCCAAUGGCUUAACCAUUGAACUGCAGUUGAAACUGUUUUUCUUGAGUGAAGUAGAGGUUGGCGGAAUUCCGAGUGUAGCGGUGAAAUGCGUAGAUAUUCGGAGGAACACCGGUGGCGAAGGCGGCCAACUGGGCUUUUACUGACGCUGAGGCUCGAAAGUGUGGGGAG